rnacentral:tmRNA from 1 species
GGGGUCGUUUAUGGUUUCGACAGAAUAUAUUUGAUUAUAUUUGCAAGUGGUUGGCUAUUCCUAAAAUAGCAAACAGUUAAAAUAACUGACAAACCUAAUUAUAAUACAGCUUUAGCAUUCGCCUAGUAAUUGGCUGCAAAGCACUGCUUUCUUAUUGACUUUCCACAAUAUAAGUUAGUGGUUCAUAGUAGUGGAAUAUAUUUAAGUAAUGUUUCGUUAUUUAAAUGAAAUUUUAGAAACUUAGUUAAUAUAUACUUUGAUAAUUUGCAGAUAUUAAUGAAAUAAUAAAUUAUCUAAACUUGUAGAAGAUAUAAUUUAAGUAUUUUGGACAGCGGUUCAAGUCCGCUCGGCUCCACCA